rnacentral:tRNA from 1 species
GCUUCACUAGCUCAGUUGGCAGAGCGUCAGUCUCAUAGCUACUUUUGGUUGUGCAAUCUGAAGGUCGACAGUUCGAACCUGCCGUGGAGCA